UUAAAUUGAGAUUAUAUUUCUUAUUGUUUACAGAAAUGCAAAUGGAAAAACAAGCCUCCUCUGCCUCGUCCUAUUGAGCCCAAUAUUAAGAUUUUAUUUUGAUAAAUUCUAAGCAUUUAGGUAUCUCGUUGAGUAUGAGGUUAAUCCUCUCUGUUAUCAUGUAAAUCUAAACUUAUUUUUAAGCUGAAAUUGCAAUAGAAACCACCAAUCUGGGCAUGGCUCCAAAUUCCGGCGACGCAUUCUAAGCUAAAAGUUCCGGCAGCCAUUCUCUGUCCCUUAUUUCAUCAUCAUCUGGGGGCAAUCAGUUGGAUCACAGGUCCAACUCCCAAAGCAAGAUUUUUGACUUUUUUCACAUGAUUAUGGUGGUUAGUAGGAGUGUUGGUGGCGGAGGGGAGAACGCUGUUUGUGCUAGUUUUUCUAAGCUGUUCGUUCAUUAUUAGAUUCUGUUGAGCUUUCUCCCUGAUUAAUUAUAUACCCGAACGCGUUUGCUAUGGGUUUUUUUUUUUUAAUUAACAAAAUUAUGUGUGUUGUUAUGCAAUUGAUAAUGACAUGCAUCAGGAUAUUUAUAUAGUUUUAUGUCUCUACAUAGACUUCAUGGAAAUUUUACAUAAAAUCGAGUUAUUGGUUUCUGAGAUAAGUUACUGGCCUGUAAUUUCUGUGAACAAGUUUUCCUUCUCGUUUUCUUUUUAAGGGGUUUGGGUAGGAAGUGAGGAUAUAAAGAGCAUUUAAAAGAUGGUUGAAAAAAGAAAGAAAGAGCUUCCAUAUCCCUCUUCAUAUGAUUUCCAUGUAGAUUCUGGAGUUUGUUCGUUAUGGUGACAAGAAUGCGGCAGAAUUGAUGGACAUUGGGCACGACUUUUAGGAAGGUUGACGGGACAUUUCCUGAUGGGGCAACAUUAAUCACUAUUCACGAUGCAAUUGCUAGUGAAAAUGGAAAUCUGGAGCUUGCUUUACAUGGUUCUUUUCUACCUGUGCCUUCCCUGAGAAAUUUCUUGAAUGGAAGAUCAAACAAUUCCUGGUGACAUGAUUUUCAAAGGUGGGACUAUUGCACUUGGUCAUGGAAGGAAAGCAGUUGGUCAUGGAAGGAAAGCAGUAAGUCUCAAAGUGACUAACACUGGAGACAGGCCAACUCAGGAAAGGAUAUGGAAUGCGCUUAAAUAUACCAGCAGGAACAGCUAAAAGAUUUGAGCCUGGAGAAUUUAAAACUGUUGUGCUUGUCAGCAUUGGCCAUACGAAAGUGAUCAGAGGAGGAAAUGGUAUUGUUGAUGGUCCUGUUGAUGAUGCCAAUGCCGAAAUAGUGAUGGAAACCAUAAAGAGAGAAGGUUAUUGGAGUCUGGAAGAUGCAAAUGCUAGGUUUACAACUUUGGCUAGAAUUAAUGCUCUCUGAUUUAGUUCCGCUUCAUGUCAUCAAAAGGAUUUCUUGAUUAGUAAACCUUGACUGCUUAAAUAAUUGAAUAGGAAAGUAUUGAUGCCUUGACCUGGCUUAUUUUGCUGUGAAGGUGUCACUGGAGAAGGUUCUGCUUUCAGCACAAUAAUUUCUUGUGAGGCAUAUGCUAAAAUGUAUGGCCCUACUACUGGUGACAAAAUUCGGCUAGGUGAUACAAACUUGUAUGCUGAAAUAGAAAGAGAUUUUGCUGUAUAUGGUGAUGAAUGUGUCUUCCGGGGUGGAAAAGUUAUAAGAGAUGGCAUGGGUUAAUCAUGUGGGCAUCCACCAACUGAAUCUUCAGAUAUUGUUAUAACAAAUGCUGUAAUCAUUGAUUACUCUUUUUAAGGCAGAUAUUGGUAUUAAAAAUGGCCUUAUUGUUGCCCUUGGGAAAGCAGGCAAUCCAGACACCAGAGAUGGUGGUUUCCUUAAUAUGAUCAUCGGGGUUAACACUGAGGUUAUUGCUGGGAAAGGAUUGAUUGUAACUGCUGGGGCUAUAGACUGUCAUGUGCACUUCAUAUGCCCUCAGCUGGUUCAUGAAGCAAUAUCAAGUUGUACGCUACACUGUCAGGCAUACUUUAGGCUACACAACAUUAGUAGGAGGUGGAACUGGACCAGCUGAAGGUACAUGUGCAGCUACUUGUACAGCAGCACCAUUGCAGAUGAAAUUGAUGCUGCAGUUCACUGAUGACUUGCCUCUGAUUUUGGCUUCACGGGAAAGGGGAAUGGUUCCAAACCUAAUGAACUACAUGAAAUAAUCAAGGCUGAAGCUAUGGGAUUGAAGUUGCAUGAGGACUGGGGGACUACUCCUGCUGCAAUAGACAAUUGCUUGACUGUUGCAUAACAAUUGGAUGUCCAGGUCAGAGAAAAAGAAUGAGAAAUGCUUCUGAGCUUUACAAAUUCUUUUAUAAUUUUACAUUUUUAACCAUACCAGCCUCCUGUAUGGUUUAGGAAAAGAGACAAAGCAUGAUCCUCAGUUAGAUAAUUUAAAUUUGUACAUCUCAGUCAGAUAAUGUGCAAAAUUGGCUUGCUUGUGAUGUAACCAAGCAUGAUCUCAAGACGUUCAGUCCCACCUGAUUAUGAGCACAGCAUUAUUA